rnacentral:rRNA from 1 species
GCAAGGUUGAAACUCAAAGGAAUUGACGGGGGCCCGCACAAGCGGUGGAGCAUGUGGUUUAAUUCGAUGCAACGCGAAGAACCUUACCUGGGCUUGAACUGUAGUGGACCGUCAUAGAGAUAUGAUUUUUCCUUCACGGGAACUGCUAUAGAGGUGCUGCAUGGCUGUCGUCAGCUCGUGUCGUGAGAUGUUGGGUUAAGUCCCGCAACGAGCGCAACCCUUAUCGCUAAUUACCAUCGAGUAAUGUCGGGGACUUUAGCGAGACUGCCCGGGUUAACCGGGAGGAAGGUGGGGAUGACGUCAAGUCCUCAUGGCCCUUAUGUCCAGAGCUACACACGUGCUACAAUGGUCGGUACAGAGUGUCGCUACAAUGUGAGUUGAUGCUAAUCACUAAACCCGAUCUCAGUUCGGAUUGCAGUCUGCAACUCGACUGCAUGAAGUUGGAAUCGCUAGUAAUCGUGGAUCAGCAUGCCACGGUGAAUACGUUCCCGGGCCUUGUACACACCGCCCGUCACACCAUGGAAGUCCAUAGUGCUAGAAAUGACUGAUCUAACCUUCGGGAGAAUCACUAGU